CUCUAGGGGUCUUCUAUCAAAAUUGGAAUUUUUCUUUUGGAUUGUAAACGUAACGUAUAACAGGAAGGGGAAACUACAGCUUGUGUGUUGAGCCAAACGAUGAGUUGAAUGUUGUUGUUUCCAAGAAAGUCUUACCUUGAGUUAUGCGGAGGAAGGAGGAAGCUAUGGUGGUGGUUGUGGGCGGUUCAUGAGAUUGUGUUGGUGCUAAGAUAUGUAAUCAGAUGGGUGGAUAACAUAGAGACCGGGCUGAUUCAAAUUGACGAAGGGCUGAUGAUGAAGGAGGGCGUGUAGCUGAGAGUGAGAAUCCUGAUGAUGCUGCAUUUGAAAACAGUGGCGGUGCUGUAGCUGCUACGGCGGUCCCAACACUGGACUGAUCAUGCCCUUGCCAUGUCCUGGCUGGGAAACUUUGAUGAGAACGUAAC